ACGGCAGGGGUUUAAUAUAAACAUAGAGGGAGUCAAUAGAAGGGUUGUUUAGCGCUGAGAGAGUUUCAGGUGCGCCUGUGGUUUAUCACCGACAGCUUGUAGACGUAAUCCAGAUGAUGGUGGGAAGAGCAGGAGAGAGACAGGGAGAUAUAAACAGAGAUGGCAUGUGUUUUGGUUUCAGAUCUCUGAUUGAUGCGCUCUGACUUUCUUCAGCUUCGCAAACAAAAGUCUCUCGCGUCGAGCAGGAAGUUUAAAAAAAUUCGUCCAAUCGGACCAUCCCAGAUAAAAGAGUCAGGUGAUAUUACUUCAUGAGCGCAUUCGUGUUGGGAAUAGCACGGAAUCCUGGAGUAACUUUGAGUCGACAAGACCAUCGACCAUCCAGUAACCGGCAUUUAACCACCACACCACGCAUGACAGCUUGAAAGAGAGCGACGUCGGUGGAAUAUCUUCCCAACAGCUUUGGCAGCAGCAAGUUAAUGCAGAGAGCAAACACAGAAUUCCCCUUAAAAGGAGCCAAUCUCGAGUCUCUAUAAACCAGCGAGAGUCGCGUGUGUAUAUACAACUGCAUGAAAUAGUUUACAAUCGCUCUACCACUUCUUAAAUAGAUCCUUAACGUCUGUUUUCCUGUGUGUUCCUGCAUUAGGACUUUUAUUAUGGCUGCACCUAUCCAUUUCGUUCUUUCUUUUCUUAAAUCUUCCAUUGACAUUUUUUAUUUGAUGCACAGGUCACACAACGACACAUUCACCGCAAUUCCAACAAGCAUGUGAGAUACAGAACUUUGACCCUUGAGAGAGAGGUGUGUCUGUGUGUAUUUAUCCUAAAAAUCAUGGGAUCCUUCAAAUGUCUUUCUUUCUUUCUUUCCUCAUUCUGACUUAAAGCCAGAAUUUCUUCAUCCGUACACGCUUUCCUUUAGUUCAACAUUGGAAGUGGCAAGGCCAUAAAUUUGAUUCCCAGAGAAUGCACACGAUCAUAAAGUAGGCCUAUAGCUUAAUUGCUUUUAAAGGGCCAGUGUAUAAAAUGUAGCGCGAACUGCAACCAACGGCUCACACCAGCACUCCCCCCUCCGUUUCGAAGCACUACGGUGGCUGACACAGAACUAAGAUGUUAUCACGUUUUCGCUUCUUUGCAGAAGGAGAUAACAUAUUUACGACAUGCGCUCGGAGCAGUUUGUCCGUUUAGGGCUACUGUACAAACAACAUGGCCAAUUCCAUGUAAGGGGACCCGCGGUGUAUGUAGAUAGAAAUAGCUUGUUCUAACGAAGGUAAUAAAAACAUAACGCUUCAUUAUACACCUCUGAAGACACAGUUAUGUGUAUUAUGUGUUUCUGUCAAUAGAUCCUCCAAAAAAAUCACACACACCACCUUUAAAUAAAAGUGCCAUCUAUGCAUUGGUGAAAAUGUACAAAUAAUGAACCGUUUUAAGUAGAAUUAAGGGGACAAUGUUAGUGUUUUGGUUUCUUUUUAUCACAAUAGCACAGACUUGAAUUUGAGAAAAAUCUUUAAUUUGGUGUGAUGUAACUGCAACAAUAAAAAUAACUUCAUUUCCAGACAAACUAGAUGCAACGUGAUAAAAACGCCGUCCUGUGAGGUGGGUUUAUAAAAGGAACAAACUCUAAAAUCUUCAACUCAACACCACCACACAGACACGGAACAGCAAUAAGAGGUUUUAAAUAUUUUACCGGCGCGUCCGAGACGGCUGACUGCAAUGAAAGAUACAGCUGGCGUUAAAGUUGCUGUCGGAUGAAGUUUGCAGCGACGCUUUCCCACUGACCUGAGAUCAGCCGUCUGUAGUCUGUCACCAUGGUUUGUGACCACAUCAGAGUCUGUUUAAAGAGAUAUUCAGAGUUGGAAGGCGAUUGCAAUACAUUGUAAGUGCAUAACUGUCAACACAUUCAUCCCACAGAUGUGGUUGAUCGAGUGACUCACAAAAAACACAGAAUAAUCUCUUAAAAAGCCUCUGGAGUGAUCACAAAAAACAAAAGUUCAUGGGCAAUUUUAGCUUUUUUUAACGUGUCGGAUGUUUUAUCCAAUCUGUGCUCAUGUUAUACACACAGUGUACAUGUUCUGUCUGUUUAUGCAUUAACGCUGUAAUCCUGUGUCUGUAAAUCACAGACCCCGAGCGAGAGCGAUUCCUCUGCUUCUGUCAAACAAACUGGUCUGAUUUGCUGCUCUCUGCCUGCCGGGACUUCUGCACACUGUCAUUUCGAACACGGCCGAGGAAUAAAGUUAUACACAAACGGGAUUUAGUGCAAAGCAACAUGGGUAACCCCUCGAUAUCCUUUCGAACUUCUUACAUCCUUCAGAUUUUAUUACUGAGCCCCUGAGUGACCUCUGCAGUUAGUACCACGGGCGUGGGUGCUCUCACUUAGGUCCUCUUGAUGUUAUC